rnacentral:rRNA from 1 species
AUUGAACGCUGGCGGCAUGCCUUACACAUGCAAGUCGAACGGCAGCACGGGGGGCAACCCUGGUGGCGAGUGGCGAACGGGUGAGUAACACAUCGGAACGUGCCCAGUAGUGGGGGAUAGCUCGGCGAAAGCCGGAUUAAUACCGCAUACGACCUACGGGUGAAAGCGGGGGAUCGCAAGACCUCGCGCUAUUGGAGCGGCCGAUGUCAGAUUAGGUUGUUGGUGGGGUAAAGGCCUACCAAGCCGACGAUCUGUAGCUGGUCUGAGAGGACGACCAGCCACACUGGGACUGAGACACGGCCCAGACUCCUACGGGAGGCAGCAGUGGGGAAUUUUGGACAAUGGGCGCAAGCCUGAUCCAGCCAUGCCGCGU